CCUACGGGAGGCAGCAGUGGGGAAUAUUGCACAAUGGGCGCAAGCCUGAUGCAGCGACGCCGCGUGAGGGAUGACGGCCUUCGGGUUGUAAACCUCUUUCAGUAGGGAAGAAGCGAAAGUGACGGUACCUGCAGAAGAAGCGCCGGCUAACUACGUGCCAGCAGCCGCGGUAAUACGUAGGGCGCAAGCGUUAUCCGGAAUUAUUGGGCGUAAAGAGCUCGUAGGCGGUUUGUCGCGUCUGCCGUGAAAGUCCGGGGCUCAACUCCGGAUCUGCGGUGGGUACGGGCAGACUAGAGUGAUGUAGGGGAGACUGGAAUUCCUGGUGUAGCGGUGAAAUGCGCAGAUAUCAGGAGGAACACCGAUGGCGAAGGCAGGUCUCUGGGCAUUAACUGACGCUGAGGAGCGAAAGCAUGGGGAGCGAACAGGAUUAGAUACCCUGGUAGUCCAUGCCGUAAACGUUGGGCACUAGGUGUGGGGGACAUUCCACGUUUUCCGCGCCGUAGCUAACGCAUUAAGUGCCCGCCUGGGGAGUACGGCCGCGAAGGCUAAACUCAAAUUGAAUUGAGGCUUGNGAGNGCGAGACGACGACGAGGGAGAGG
rnacentral:rRNA from 1 species